GUGCCAGCCGCCGCGGUAAUACGGGGGGAGCAAGCGUUGUCCGGAAUCAUUGGGCGUAAAGGGCGUGUAGGUGGUUUUGUAAGUCGAAUGUGAAAUCUCACGGCUCAACCGUGAAAUUGCGUUCGAAACUACAUAACUUGAGUUAGGGAGAGGUGUACGGAAUUCCUGGUGUAGCGGUGGAAUGCGUAGAUAUCAGGAAGAACACCAAUGGCGAAGGCAGUACACUGGCCUGUAACUGACACUGAGGCGCGAAAGCGUGGGGAGCAAACAGGAUUAGAUACCCUUGUAGUCC
rnacentral:rRNA from 1 species